UACAGAGGUGGCAAGCGUUGUUCGGAAUUACUGGGCGUAAAGGGCGCGUAGGUGGCCUUCUAAGUCAGACGUGAAAUCCCCAGGCUUAACCUGGGAACUGCAUCUGAUACUGGAGGGCUUGAGUUCGGGAGAGGGAUGUGGAAUUCCAGGUGUAGCGGUGAAAUGCGUAGAUAUCUGGAGGAACACCGGUGGCGAAGGCGGCAUCCUGGACCGAAACUGACACUGAGGCGCGAAAGCUAGGGGAGCAAACGGG
rnacentral:rRNA from 1 species